GGGCUAACGAGCUUCCGAGCUUUCCUAAGCCGGAGACUAUAAGCAAAAUGUUAGUAAAUCAGAAGCUCCUCUGUUUUGGCAACAUAUUUGCUUCUGAGGAUGUCGGGGGAAUGCUCUCACUUCUAGAAAUGGUUGAGCAGUGUCUGAGAGCUGGAAAGAAACAAGCUUGGCAUGGUACCAGUGUUACAAACAUAUGUGUGGGCCUGCUAUCUGGCCUGAAGGCCUUGCUUGCUUUACGUCCUGAACCCUUACCACUGGAAGUACUUGGGUUGGCACAGUCUAUCUUUCAGAACAUUCUGGCUGAGGGUGACAUCUGUGCUUCACAACGCAGGGCAUCAUCUGAAGGACUUGGUCUAUUAGCUCGUCUAGGAAAUGAUGUGUUUACUGCCAGAUUGACAAGAGUUCUCCUUG
rnacentral:misc_RNA from 1 species